UACAGAGGGUGCGAGCGUUGUUCGGAUUUACUGGGCGUACAGGGAGCGUAGGCGGUUGGAUAAGCCCUCCGUGAAAUCUCCAGGCUUAACCUGGAAAGUGCAGAGGGGACUGUUCAGCUAGAGGAUGGGAGAGGAGCGCGGAAUUCCCGGUGUAGCGGUGAAAUGCGUAGAGAUCGGGAGGAAGGCCGGUGGCGAAGGCGGCGCUCUGGAACAUUUCUGACGCUGAGGCUCGAAAGCGUGGGGAGCAAACAGG
rnacentral:rRNA from 1 species